UACGUAGGCGGGAAAUUAAGUCAGUAGUGAAAUCCCACAGCUUAACUGUGGAACUGUUAUUGAUACUGGUUUUCUUGAAUAUAGUUGAGGUAGGCGGAAUGUGUAAUGUAGCGGUGAAAUGCUUAGAUAUUACACAGAACACCGAUUGCGAAGGCAGCUUACUAAACUAUGAUUGACGCUGAGGCACGAAAGCGUGGGGAGCGAACAGGAUUAGAUACCCUGGUAGUCC
rnacentral:rRNA from 1 species